rnacentral:rRNA from 1 species
UACGAGGGGGGCGAGCGUUGUUCGGAAUUAUUGGGCGUAAAGGGUGCGUAGGCGGUCUGAUAAGUCAUCUGUGAAAUCUAUGGGCUCAACCCAUAGUCUGCAGGCGAAACUGUCGGGCUUGAGUAUGGGAGAGGUGAGUGGAAUUCCCAGUGUAGAGGUGAAAUUCGUAGAUAUUGGGAAGAACACCGGUGGCGAAGGCGGCUCACUGGCUCGUAACUGACGCUCAUGCACGACAGCGUGGGGGAUCAAACAGG